UGUCCUACGGGAGGCAGCAGUGGGGAAUAUUGCACAAUGGGGGAAACCCUGAUGCAGCAACGCCGCGUGAGUGAAGAAGUAUUUCGGUAUGUAAAGCUCUAUCAGCAGGGAAGAAGAUGACGGUACCUGAGUAAGAAGCCCCGGCUAACUACGUGCCAGCAGCCGCGGUAAUACGUAGGGGGCAAGCGUUAUCCGGAUUUACUGGGUGUAAAGGGAGCGUAGACGGGGCAGCAAGUCUGAUGUGAAAGGUCGGGGCCCAACCCCGGGCCUGCAUUGGAAACUGUUGAACU
rnacentral:rRNA from 1 species